rnacentral:rRNA from 1 species
CCUACGGGCGGCAGCAGUGGGGAAUAUUGGACAAUGGGGGCAACCCUGAUCCAGCCAUGCCGCGUGUGUGAAGAAGGCCCUCGGGUUGUAAAGCACUUUCAGUGAGGAAGAUCGCCUGGUGGUUAAUACCCAUCAGGAAAGACAUCACUCACAGAAGAAGCACCGGCUAACUCCGUGCCAGCAGCCGCGGUAAUACGGAGGGUGCGAGCGUUAAUCGGAAUUACUGGGCGUAAAGCGCGCGUAGGUGGCUUGAUAAGCCGGUUGUGAAAGCCCCGGGCUCAACCUGGGAACGGCAUCCGGAACUGUCAAGCUAGAGUGCAGGAGAGGAAGGUAGAAUUCCCGGUGUAGCGGUGAAAUGCGUAGAGAUCGGGAGGAAUACCAGUGGCGAAGGCGGCCUUCUGGACUGACACUGACACUGAGGUGCGAAAGCGUGGGUAGCAAACAGGAUUAGAUACCCCAGUAGUC